AGAUGUGAUACCUUUCCUUGUCUCUGGCCUUGGAGUCCUCCCGUGUCCCCUUCAGUGCACUCAGAGCCACAGCACACACAGAGCUGGUGGGAGGCAAGGUUCUUGUCAGGGCUUCUGAGGCACCACAAUGUCCUGCACUACCCCUCUCCUGUCAGGGAGAGUCACAUGAGAAUUAUUUCCAGGGGAGGGAAGUAAUUGAAAAUAGGGGGGGCAGAUACAGAGCUUGGGACUUCUGCCCAUGCAUUAUCUAAAAAUCUGGGUGUCCAUUAUGGGCAGGCUGUUUCAGAGUCAGAACAGGACUGUUUGUUCUAUCAGUGGGAAGAGUAACACGGCUCCAAUUUUCCAGCACUGCUAAGCAGCAAUCAGGAGUCAAUUGGCAGGAGAUAUUAAGCCAGAUAUCUUCCUCUCUACCUGCUGCUCCCCAGUGCCUGAAUCAGAGCUGUACCCUGGCUGUUCUACACCCCCUCAGGACACAGAGAGCAGUGACCUCCUUUGUGCCUGGGGUCAGCAGGUCUUGCUGCUUGAAGGUGUUUUUCACUGUGCCAGUGCUACCCUCUGCCACUGCCUCCUUGCUGCAGCUCAGAGGGCUCCUCCAGAAAAGGACCUUGGGUCUGGGUCUACCACCAGACAGGUUACAAAAUCAUAUUUUUCUUGAUUUUGGUGGUUUUGGUUGUUUGAAUUUUUGUUUGUUUGGUUGAUUGGUUGGAUUUGAGUUUAUUUUGUUGGCUCAUUUUUGUUUGGUUAGGAUUUUUGCCCUUCUUUGAUGUGGCAGGGUUUUUUUUGGGGGGGAGGCUGUUGUCUGGUUUAUUUAUGGGGUUUUUUUGGUGGUUUUGGUCGGGGUUUUUUGCUGGUUUUUUUGUUUGUUUGCUUGGUUUUUGUGAGUUUGUUUUGGUUUUGGUGUUGUGGGGUUUUUUUGGGUUUUUUGUUUGUUCAUUUGUUUUUUUGUGGGUUUUUUUUUGUUGUUUGGUUUUUUGUGUUGCCGUUUUGUUUGUUUUGUUUGUUUGUCUUGUUUGUUUUGUUUGUUUGUUUUGUUGUUUUUGCCAGCCCCCAGCUUCAGGAAACUUAUAAUUUUGAGUCGUAAGAGGAAAACUUUCAAAGUGUAGGGUGUCCCUACCUGGAAGACUCAGCUGGGGAGGGAUUGGCCUAGGGGAGUUGCAGGGAUGUGACUGCACUGCCUUCAGGCUGAAAAGGAAGGUGAACACAGAUUUCCCAUUUCCUAGCAACAUCCUUUUCCUCACCAGGAGGUUAUCACUGUCAAAUCUGGAACAGGCUGCCUUCCUUCCUAUGGGUAUUCCUUCAGUGCAUCUCUAGCUUUGACGAUACCUGUGACGACUUUGACUAAUUUCAAAAAGAUUGGAUAAGGCAAGCAGAGUGACUGGAAAACCUGAGAGCUCUGACCAGGGUUCCUUUUGUGCCAGAUCUGCUGCAUUACUCUCUGCUCAUCAUUGCUGGAGUUCACACUGACCCAGCUAUCACAUAAUUGCGAAAAACAGGACAUGCACAACAAUAACUACAAAGGCCCAGAAGGGAAGUUACAACAUCAUGACCAUUUGCCACUUACACAAAGGCUUACUCCAAGAUGACAGAUGUAUGGCUUGGGAAAUGCUGCUUGGGACUCAGAAGAGCUCGUCCAGUGCCUGGGAAGAUCAGUCUGAACCUCACUCUGAGGCUCAUGCCUGCCAAAAGACCUGGGAUUCCAGUGCAGAGGAAUGACUUGACCAGCAGCCAGAACCAGAGAGCGUGGACUUCCCAAGAGGAUUUGCUCAGCUGUUGGGCCAGUGGACAUUGGAAAGCCUCUGCACCCUUGUCUUGGUUUGGAAAGACAGGUAUCUGUCAGGGAAAACUGGAGUUUCCCUUGGAAUGGAGAAUGUAAAACCCCCUCCCUCCAAAUUAUUACAAUUUUGCAAUUAGGAGCUUUCAGGCAAAAAUAUGGGAAUAGGAAUAACAGUGCUUUACUAAGAAUAUUAAAAUUCAAAUGCAGUAACAAAAACCCACAAACAAACAAACAAAACCCCACCAAGCAAGGAAACAAACAAAAGUCCUAGAAAACCCUGACAGAGUCAGGAAUAUGACCUGACACCCUGUUGGCCAGGGCCUUGGAAGAAGUCCAAAUAAAUCCUCCUGGAGUGACAGAUGUGGUUCUGUUGGAGUAGAGAUGAUCCUGUAGACAGGUUCAGUGGUGGUGAAAUGAGGCCAGUCUUCCUCUGGGAAUCCAGUGGAAAAGAGGAAAUGUCUGGGGUCCCUGUGUCCCCAUUUUUAUCUGGGUAGGGAAUGGUUGGCUCCUCCCCACUGGGUGGAGCAUCGUACAAUGGGAUGAUGUAAAGUGUCGUCAUUGGUGAGCCUUGCAGAAGAUAUCCACUGGAGGGCGGAUAAGAAUGGUUGAUGAAAAAGAUAAGAAACACUGCCCCACUUGGUUUUAAAAGCUCGUCUGUCAUCAGAAGGCAUCCACCCUACUCCCUCCUGGAGUUACAAGAGGUAAAGAAAAAAGAAACCAUCUCCCAACUGCUUUCUAUAGAUGAAAUAAAAUACACUUUUUUUGGUUACAUAACCCAAGGUAACCCUGUGGUCCAGGCACUGUGCACUUGGGUGCAUCAUAGAUUCAUCCAGAUUCCAGACUUGGAAAAAUGUCUAGAGGAAACGUAACAGUCUGUGAUAUUCAGGGGAGAACAGACAGCCCAGAAGCCUUCCUGCUUUUACAGUGUAUGACAAUUUGCUCUUUCAUUUCUUUCAUGUUAGGUUUCUCAACAAGUCAAAGCAAGGAAGAAGCCAUGAAGCUGUGCUGGGAACAGUGCUGAUGCUGACAUGUCUUGCAAUAGCAAUCCCUUGUAAACUAAUGAAGGCCCCACUUGACACCUCAGGCAACAGGGCAGAAGGCGUGCUGCUGCAUACAGUCAUGCACCUUUAUUUAAUGCACCCAGCUUGUCCCAUAAGCCCCUGACCUGGGUGUCAACCACCCCUGACCUGCAUGCACCAGAUGAAUCCCCAGGGAGACAGGCUUCUUGCUUGGAGCCCUCUCUGCUGUCUUGUUCAGCAAAGAGGCAGACAGCACAUGCCCACCUCCAUCUGGAAGGGAGAUACUGAUCCUAGAGGGAAGCCCUGACCCUCCAGGCAGAGGUAUAGCCUGUAUGUGUGUGACUCCCUGAGUGUAUAAGUGCCAUGAGAUGCUGCCCUUUCCAGCCUGGCCUCCUUGGGUGAUGCAGUGCCAGUGAGGGAGCAGGCAUGGAUCUCAGCAGGCAUCAGGGAACAUCUGUGCCUCUGGGGCACCCAGGCUGAACAUCAGUACGUGUCUGCAGAAGUGUCACAGAAGUGUCACAUGUAAGCCUCCGCAGUGGUUGUGUUCCAGUGUGCCCACAUUGUCCAAAGCCCCUGGGGCAGGUGUUGCAGUGUGACACUGACAUGAGACCCUCCUGUCAGUGCCAGGGUGGGUGCCCACAGCUCAGGUGCUCUGCCGUGGUACAGCCACCACCAGAGGUGCAGCUGAUGGCAAAGCCCCAUGUAGCUCCCACCCAAGGGCCCAUGGAGCAAGAGGCAUGGCUGGGGUUUCCAGGCAGGUGGAGUUCCUUCCUGAUGCUGCAAGUACAACUGGUACAAGGUGGAGCAGGUGGGACUUUCCUGUGAUUCCUCGCUGACAGUGCCCAUCAUCCCAGCUGCAGGGUUCUGCCUCCUCUCUCAUAGAUUGCUGUUUCAAGGAUACAAGGAUACCAUCAAGAAAACAAUGGUGUGCAGAAGGUGGCCCUAAGCAGACUGAUCCUGGGCUCAUUUUUACAGUAUCUGUAAAAGUUUCCAGAUGUUGAUUUUUCUUGUCUUUUCUUUGCCCUUGUGAGGAGCUCCAUCCCUCUCUCACUCUGCUCUGCUCUGAGACAGCAGGAUUGUCCUCUGACACUGGACGGAUGAGAAAAGCAGCCCUGGUAAGUGAGAUCCUAACCUCACCCUUUCCAGGGGUUAGUUCGUUCCUAGUAGGCUCAUAAAUUUUUGGAAACUCAACUUUCCAGCUGAGUGUGGCUAAACGUCUUCAGUGACAGAUGUUCCUCUAUUAUUUUGGGGGGGUUUGGGUGGUGGUUUUGUUUUGUAUUGGUCUUUUGGGUUUUAAAAUAUAUAUAUGAAACAUAAAUCUGAGGAGGCAGAGGGGCUUGGUGUAGUUUUGGUUAGUUGUGGGCUUGUUUGUUUGUGGGUUUGUUUGUUUGUUUGUUGUUGUUGUCGUUGUUGGUUUUUUUAAAUUUUAUUUCUGUUGCAUAAGAGAAAGAUAUUUUCCCUAGAUCUAGUAUGUACUAAAUGGUUUUUGUGAGAUUGCUUAUGAACUUUCAUUAUACAAUAAAAAUACAAAUUGCAAGUCGUGGUAACAGCCAUCAGUUUGGUGACAGAAGCCUGCUUGGCUGGGAGAUGUGGGGAGGAAUGGAAUGCAUGUUAAUGUAGUGAAGGAGGAGGUAGGGAAGGCGUGUGUGGUGGAAAGGUUGCAAAUGAGAAUGAAAGGAGUGUAAAAAUGCAGUCAGUAGUCUAGGCUUCCUCUUGCUAUUUUUGUGAAGACAUUCUUUGUCCAAAUUAGGAAUGAGCAAUUACAGUGGGCUGGGUGGGUGCUGCUGGAGGUGUAGGAAGCAUUGCUGGC